AUCAGAUUGGAUCACAUCCAAGAAGGGCUUAAGGUAUAGAAGUGGAUCAACAUUGUUCCACUCAUGUCUCCAUGAGAAUAUCUUUUUUCUUAAUUCCUUGAAAGAUUGGAUGAGAGAAUACUCCAGUUGAUCAUCUUCAGCAGCAUAACGAAAUCCCCACCUAACAUUUCUCCUCAUCACGGCUAAAACAGCACCAAUUUCUGAAUUCACCAUACAUUCUAAGGCACCUCUGGAAGGCUUUAUAGUAUGAUCCUUGGGUUCUGAAAUUGGAGUAUUGCCUCCACUCGGCUGAUUAGGGAACCCCAUCAUAAUUUUAACUUAUGAUUCAGUUCACUUCAAUUGGAAAUGUAUGAAAAGACAAUGAAUCAGGCUGCUGCUUGGCCGAACCGUUACCCUUUAUAGACGAUUCCCAGCCCCGAAUAGAGAGCUGUUCGUCUGAGGGUCGUCGGAGUCCGGCAGACGGCCACACUUUUGGUAAUACUUAUUUUGAUUUUGAA
rnacentral:misc_RNA from 1 species